rnacentral:lncRNA from 1 species
AGAGACAUGAAUCACACCCCACCUCUGAAGCCAGAUACAACAAUCAACAGCAUUUUCUUACCUGCAAAACUUGUGUCUCAGAUGCCUCCUGUCCACGUCCAUGUCUGAUAAUUGGACUUUUCCAGUUCUCCUCCCUUGUUGAGUACUGUGUAAAUCACGUUUUCUGGCUGCACAGUGUCAGUGCAUGACAUUUUAUUGAACGCAAGUGGCAGUACAUCACAAUACAAUCUGUAUAACGUUUUUAUAGGAGCAAUAACAUUUGAAAGAUUUUACUCAGAACUAUGCCCCAUGUUCAGGGAGAUGAGACAUAUGUAGGUAGUAAUAAUAUUGUCCAGAGCCACAAAUAGCUCUGAAUGAAGCUCUGACCCAAAUGAUUGAGUUUCCUUUGCCUCUUAUUGCAGAAGCGAGAGCAAAUAAGAUUUUGGAGUGAUGGCUGACCGAGGGUAAGGCUGCAGAGGAUAAGGUCUGUAAUAAUCCCUGAGUUUGAUGGAGUAGCUACCAGCCAAGGUGAAUGAACUGCCAAUUGACUGCCUGAUAACACUCAUUUCCACCCCACUUUGCUUGCAGUUCUUUUCCCUCUUGUUUUCCAAGUCAUUAAAAUAAUUAGGUCAAACAAGAAGCAAUUGUUUAUCACCUACAUUUCCUGUUGAAUCUUUGACUUCAUUGUCAGACCUGAAAAGGGGAUUAUGUGCUUGGAGGCUUGUUAUAUCAUUAACUCCAAUUAAAGAAAUUACUUCUCCCAAUAAGUGUUAGAUCUCUAAAUAUAUGUGAUGUUGUUACCCAUGGUGGAUCUACUGGGAUAUUUGAGUAUCCAGUGGAGGCACAUGUGGAUUUAAUUUACAAUCAGGGAGGUACCAUACAAGGAGCAGGUAAAUAACCUGCUGGCAAACAUGGCAGGACUAAUGAAGAGCCACAGUCUUCAGUCCUGCCUAGGAAGCUGGUCUCUUUCUUCCCGGAUCAAGAUUGAAAUUAGUUUCUGGAAGGAAGGCUUGGCUUUAUUGAAGAUCCUUCUGUUUUACGAUGAAGAUCUGAUGUUUCUCCUGUCAACUUCCCAAUGAUUUUCAGCUGCAAGGCAAAUAUGCAUUGGGGUUAGAUACCACAAGGAACUUUCAAGUGGAGACAUGAGCCCCUUCAGGAAACCUGCUGGUGUGAAAUACUGCAUAUGAAGCACUGCCCGAGGGAGCUUGGUUAUGGAGCAGAGAGGCAGCACAGCUUCCACUAGAUUUGAUUCUCUGCUCUGUAUAAUCAUUUGUGUUUUUGCAAAGGGAGCAGAAAAUGUACCAUGCUAGAGGAAGAAACAUCUUUCAUCCUCUCUGAGCACACAGAAAACAGGAGAUAAUCAAGAGUUUGUAUAUGUCAGUUCUGGUUAGAAAAGUAGGAAAUGAUUGAUAAGAUGAUCUCCUGCAGAAUAUAAACUAGAGGCUUCAUCCAGUGAGCCCAGCACCGGACUGUACAAUGCAGGGACUCUUGAGAUCAGGAGCCUAAUUCUCUUUCUGUGGAUCUCUUUCCUGGGAGUAAUAUUUAAAAAAGGACUCAGAAGAAAUGAGGAAUGAUACCCAAAUCUCACAUUUCCAGGGUGUCGUGGUUCCGCUCGAGUGGGCAGCCGAGCUCCACCACAGCCGCU